AGCGAACGUUAGCGGCGCGCCUAACACAUGCAAGUCGCACGAGAAAGGGGGCAACCCCCGGUACAGUGGCGCACGGGUGAGUAACACGUGGGUGAUCUGCCCAGAAGAAGGGGAUAACCUCUCGAAAGGGGGGCUAAUACCGCAUAGGACCACUGGGGCUCUGGCUCUGUGGUGAAAGGGGGCCUCUGUUUACAAGCUCCUGCUUCUGGAUGAGCCCGCGUCCCAUCAGCUAGUUGGUAGGGUAAUGGCCUACCAAGGCUACGACGGGUAGCUGGUCUAAGAGGAUGGCCAGCCACACUGGAACUGAGACGCGGUCCAGACUCCUACGGGAGGCAGCAGUGGGGAAUCUUGCGCAAUGGGCGAAAGCCUGACGCAGCGACGCCGCGUGGGUGACGAAGGCCUUCGGGUUGUAAAGCCCUGUGGGGUAGAACGAACUGGCAUCGGGCUAAUAUCCCGGUGUCUUGACGGUACUGCCUUAGCAAGCAUCGGCUAACUCUGUGCCAGCAGCCGCUGUAAAAC
rnacentral:rRNA from 1 species